AGGCCCUACGGGGCGCAGCAGUAGGGAAUCUUCCACAAUGGACGAAAGUCUGAUGGAGCAACGCCGCGUGAGUGAAGAAGGGUUUCGGCUCGUAAAGCUCUGUUGGUAGUGAAGAAAGAUAGAGGUAGUAACUGGCCUUUAUUUGACGGUAAUUACUUAGAAAGUCACGGCUAACUACGUGCCAGCAGCCGCGGUAAUACGUAGGUGGCAAGCGUUGUCCGGAUUUAUUGGGCGUAAAGCGAGUGCAGGCGGUUCAAUAAGACUGCUGUGAAAACCUUCGGCUCCA
rnacentral:rRNA from 1 species